rnacentral:rRNA from 1 species
AUGUCGACGGGGGGAGCUUCGCUGGUGCGCCGCGCCCUCGAGGCCGUGCGCCGGACGCCGCGCUGGCAGAAGAGGCUCGUCGUCCUCACCGCAGGAGCUGGCACUUUAAGCUAUGCUUGCCAGGAUAACCGUGUUCUUCAAAUCAGUGAUGGAACGGGGGGCAAGAAAAAAGUGGUUAUACUUGGAACUGGUUGGGCAGGUGCAAGUUUCUUGAGAAAUAUCGACACUUCUUUGUAUGAUGUCCAUGUGGUAUCACCUCGCAACUAUUUUAUGUUCACUCCUCUGUUGCCGAGUGUGACAUGUGGCACGGUUGAAGCACGCAGUAUUGUGGAGCCAAUUCGCAAUAUUGUGAGAAAGAGAGGUGGUGCAUUCAGAUUCUGGGAAGCAGAGUGCUACAAGAUUGAUCCAACAAGCAAGAAGGUCCACUGCAAAUCAGGUGAUGCUGACGCCAAUGGGGAGUUUGUUGUGGAUUAUGAUUACCUUGUUGUAACUGUUGGAGCGAAACCAAAUACUUUCAACACCCCAGGAGUUGCUGAAAAUUGCCAUUUCCUGAAGGAAGUAGAAGAUGCUCAAAAGAUUAGGAAGAGUGUCAUGAAAUGUUUUGAAAGAGCUGCACUUCCUAAUCUUACUGAUGAAGAGCGGAAGAAGAACGUUCAUUUUGUUGUUAUUGGUGGUGGCCCAACAGGGGUAGAAUUUGCUGCAGAGUUGCAUGACUUUGUCAAUGAGGACUUGGCAAAAUUGUAUCCUGAUGUAAAGAAGUAUGUGAAUAUUUCAGUAAUUGAAGCUGGAGAGCAUAUCCUUACGAUGUUUGACAAAAGAAUCACCCAUUUUGCCGAGGAUAAGUUCAAGAGGACAGGCAUAGAUUUGAAGACAAAUUUUAUGGUCGUGAAGGUGUCUGAUAAGACGAUAACCAUGAGUAAUCCUACAACUGGAGAGAUUGCUGUUCCUUACGGCCUGGCUGUUUGGUCCACUGGAAUUGGAACCCGUCCCAUAAUUAUGGAUUUCAUGAAGCAAGUUGGUCAGGCAAACAGGCGUGUGCUAGCAACUGAUGAGUGGCUUAGGGUUCUUGGAUGUGACAAUGUAUAUGCACUUGGUGACUGUGCAACUAUAAGUCAAAGAAAAGUGAUGGAGGAUGUUGAUUCAAUCUUCCGGGUAGCAGACAAGGAUAAUUCUGGCACUCUGUCUGUAAAGAACAUAAAAAAUGUUCUUGGCGACAUCUAUCAAAGGUACCCACAGGUGGAGUUGUAUCUUAAAACCAACCAAAUGAAGGGCUUCCAUGACCUACUGAAAGACAAGGAGACAGAAGAACUGAACAUUGAAGAAUUCAAGAAAGCCCUUGCUCAAGUGGACUCGCAAGUCAAGAUGCUCCCAGCAACAGCUCAGGUUGCCGCACAAGAGGGAGCUUACCUGGCAGAUUGCUUCAAUAGGAUGAAUACUUGUGAAGAAAAUCCUGAAGGCCCUCUGAGGAUUAGGGGCGCAGGGCGUCAUCGGUUCAAACCUUUCAGGUACAGGCAUCUCGGCCAGUUUGCUCCGCUGGGUGGAGAGCAGACUGCCGCACAGCUGCCUGGUGAUUGGGUACAUGUUGGCCACAGCACUCAAUGGCUGUGGUAUUCUGUCUAUGCAAGCAAACAAUUCAGCUGGCGCACAAGGAUGCUAGUUGUGACUGAUUGGGGAAGGCGUUUCUUCUUUGGAAGGGACUCCAGCAGCCUAUAA